AUCCCCAUCCCCAUCCUGUUCACAUGCUUGGCCCUUCUGGGUAGUUUGGAAGUUCCUGAGGACUUGGAUUCCUCUCGAGUUAAAGAACUCCACUGGCCAUGCUCAUUCCAACAGACUUGUGAACUGACUGAUCAUGGUCACCUGAGAAAGGUGACAGCGACUUCAGUCAACUGUGUCCUAACUGAGUGCCACGGCAUGAACAUCUAGGAGAGGCAGAAAACAGAAGUAAGAUUAAAAAGGAGGAGGAAAGCAGAGAUGGUAGGUAAGUGAGCAGAAAGGGACAGGAUCUCAGAAAGGGACAGGAUCUCAGAAAGGGACAGGAUCUCAGAAAGGGACAGCAUCUCAGAAAGGGACAGCAUCUCAGAAAGGGACAGCAUCUCAGAAAGGGACAACAUCUCACUCUGCGGCUUUUGGUGCACUUAGAGCUGAAGAUUCCGGAAUUUGGACGCAAGCCUGUGGGGCCUUGUCUGCAGGUGGGCUUCCCGAAUCCUGAUUCCUAGCUUGGCAUCCUGUGCAAGUCACUCCCCCCGGGUUCUUGGGUUUCACAGACUCACUAGAAGAUUCAUCCAGGGUUGAAGUUUGUUGAAAACCUCCUAUGGAAAGGUUCUAGCCACCAGAGAGAAAAGCCACACACCAAACGCAGAAUCUGGAAUAAACAGUGCUCCUCGAGACAUGAGCCCUUCCAGGUUGGUUCCCAAAAGAACUCCAUUCACAUGCUGCACAACAAUGUUUUGGUCUACAUAGAAGAUGGUGGUCCACCAGGUGGUGGUAGUGCAGGCCUUUAAUCCCAACACCUGGGAGGCAGAGCCAGGUGGAUCUCUGUGAGUUCGAGGCCAGCCUGGUCUACAGAGCAAGAUCCAGAACAAGCACCAAAACAACACAGCGAAACCCUG